rnacentral:rRNA from 1 species
GACGAACGCUGGCGGCGUGCCUAACACAUGCAAGUCGAACGGGGAUAUUUUAACAGCAAUGGUAGGAUAUUCCAGUGGCGGACGGGUGAGUAACGCGUGAGCAAUCUGCCUAAAAGAGGGGGAUAACGACGGGAAACUGUCGCUAAUACCGCAUGAUAUACCGAGAGGGCAUCCUCAUGGUAUCAAAGGAGCAAUCCGCUUUUAGAUGAGCUCGCGUCCGAUUAGAUAGUUGGCGGGGUAACGGCCCACCAAGUCAGCGAUCGGUAGCCGGACUGAGAGGUUGAACGGCCACAUUGGGACUGAGAUACGGCCCAGACUCCUACGGGAGGCAGCAGUGGGGAAUAUUGGGCAAUGGGCGAAAGCCUGACCCAGCAACGCCGCGUGAAGGAAGAAGGCCUUCGGGUUGUAACUUUUUAGUACUACAGGACGAAGAAGUAGACGGUACUGUGAAACAAGACUCCGGCUAACUACGUGCCAGCAGCCGCGGUAAAGUACACGUCG